UCGAGUCCACACGGGUGCCCCUGCAGGGGCUGAGAUCAGGCGAUGCACGCCUGGACCGUCGAACCUGACCGGGUCAUGCCGGCGUAGGAAGUGAGGGCUCAUCAUGA
rnacentral:ncRNA from 2 species